rnacentral:rRNA from 1 species
ACUCCUACGGGAGGCAGCAGUGGGGAAUAUUGGACAAUGGGCGCAAGCCUGAUCCAGCCAUGCCGCGUGUGUGAAGAAGGCCCUCGGGUUGUAAAGCACUUUCAGUGAGGAAGAACGCCUGGCGGUUAAUACCCGCCAGGA